AAUGCACGAAACUAAAACUAAAACUAAAACGAUGUACGAUGUAUGUCAUUACGGUUCGAUUUAAGUUUCCAUCGUUUUAGUUUUAGUUUUAGUUUCGUGCAUU
rnacentral:pre_miRNA from 1 species